CCGGAACCGGUCGACUGAUGUGGCGGCACGUUUUAAAGCGUCUGAAUACAGUGUGACAGGAAGUGCGCAGCAAAAGGCUGCCAAAAGAUAAAUAACAUAUUCAUUACAAAGAAGAAUAAAGUCCCUGCUAAGCCUGAAGAAGUUUCUAAACAACACCAAAUAAGUCGAAUCCGAACAAGCCAUUUCUGAUGUUCGUGUUUCUAAUGAAACUGGUGAUUAUUCAAGUUACCAAGAAUCAGCUGAUAGAUGAUGUAGGCAGGUUCAUAAAAGAAACUUUGAUAUGUAUGGGGAAAAAAAUACAAUGAACAACAUGGGUAAUGGCCAUUUUGUAAAUAGACCAUUCACACAUUGGAACAAGAAGAAUGAAAAGGCUACAAUUCAUUCUCAAACAGCUUAUCAUUUACAUGCAGUUGAAAUUUGUGAAUGUUUUAUUCACGGAAUAGAGAACCCAGAAACUCGAAUAGAUGUCAAAAUGAACAAUAAAAUUGCACAUUAUAUUGAAACAAAUCAAAUAAUUCUAAGCGCUGUUGUGGAAUCUGUGUUGUACUGUGUAAGACAAUGUAUUCGACUCGAUGUGAUCAUGAAAAUUCUGUGUCAGAUGGAAAUCCAGGAAACUUGGCAUUGGUAAGACUUCUUGCUCCUUAUAUCAUAUCAUCAUGCGAUAUCGUGGGCCAUCAAUUACUGUGGUACCUAUCAAAUUCACAUUCGGUUAUGGGUUUUUAUAAUCGAUCAUCUUAUCAGCAGAGCUAAACCAAUAUUCGGUUAUAAUGUUAAAUCAAUAAUUACUCUAGUAAACUAGUGUGGGAGUAGCAGUCCUCUCUCUGACGGUACAAGAAGGAUGAAAUCUCCAGUAGAGGAGCUUCUCAGGAGUGGCUGUCUUCCUAUAGACGAGGCACUAGAUAGAGAUUCAUGAAAUUAACAACUAGUUUGCCCAUUGGACUUUGCGUUGUGAAGAGAUACGGCCCUGAUAAUGUCUUAUGGUUUUGUCGUGGCAACAGGAAAUAAAAAUUAAGGUGUAACUGUGUGUUGCAUGCCAUUUGCUGGCCCAUGAUGAUGGCAAUAAGAGGCUAUAGAAUUUGUUGUCGCAUCCAGAUGUCACAGGUAUUGAUUAGUGAAAAUAUUAAGCUUUAUUUAACUUCCACAAAUAACUAUUCCAUGUGUACGGUAUGCACUCGUCGUAUCCCAACCCACCCAUCCAUUUCAUAGUCCAGCUCUGACAAUGUAUGUUUAUAAGUAUACGCACAUAUUGUACACCAACCCAUCCAUCCCUUUCAUGGUACAGCUCUGACAAUGUAUGUUUAUGGGCAUACGCACAUAUUGUAAUUUGUACAAGAUUUUAACUGAAGUCUACAAAAAGUCUUAAUUGUUGUAGUUGGGUUUUUGUUUUACUUUACAAAAUGUGUGCACAUAGUGUCAAACUGUUAAUUUCAAAGAAUCAAAUGUCA